UCACUUAUCAAUGUCGAUUAGGAUCGUGGAUUGAUUGUAGUUCACAGAGGGAUGUGCGCGAUUGGUGGAGUACGGCGCGAAUGUUAGUCGUGGAGAGGAUAUCCAUGGAACUGCGGUGGCGGGCUGAGUCGGAGUUGAACGGAGUUGUCGAUGACUGAGAGAGAUGCUUGAUGGUGUGAAGAGAUUGUUUGGUCGAUGAUGGAAAUCGCUUGAAGGUGGUGAUGAAGGGUUGGAAAACGGCGAUGAAAAAGUGACUGAAGGUAGCUCGCGGGAGUUAUAGGGCUUUAAUGACGAAACACCAUUUUCACAAGAAGAUGUAGAUGACAU